GCAGAGAUCAACCAUGACAGUGGGACUUCAAAAUGGUUAUUCAACGUUACUCUAAGUGUUCCAGAUUCAGGCUUAUCUCCAGGUGCUGCGGCAGGAAUAUCUGUCAUCGUUCUUCUGCUGGUGUUUGCAGGAGCAGCAGCUUUUGUGUUUUACCAUCGCCACAAAUUUCUUCCUAAAAAGGAGGCGCAAAAAGGAGAGUUCUCUGUUCAACAAUGUCAGAUGUGUAAG